rnacentral:rRNA from 1 species
GACGAACGCUGGCGGCGUGCUUAACACAUGCAAGUCGAACGAAGAGCGAUGGAAGCUUGCUUCUAUCAAUCUUAGUGGCGAACGGGUGAGUAACGCGUAAUCAACCUGCCCUUCAGAGGGGGACAACAGUUGGAAACGACUGCUAAUACCGCAUACGAUCUAAUCUCGGCAUCGAGGAAAGAUGAAAGGUGGCCUCUAUUUAUAAGCUAUCACUGAAGGAGGGGAUUGCGUCUGAUUAGCUAGUUGGAGGGGUAACGGCCCACCAAGGCGAUGAUCAGUAGCCGGGCUGAGAGGAUGAACGGCCACAUUGGGACUGAGACACGGCCCAGACUCCUACGGGAGGCAGCAGUGGGGAAUCUUCCGCAAUGGACGAAAGUCUGACGGAGCAACGCCGCGUGAGUGAUGACGGCCUUCGGGUUGUAAAGCUCUGUUAAUCGGGACGAAAGGCCUUCUUGCGAACAGUUAGAAGGAUUGACGGUACCGGAAUAGAAAGCCACGGCUAACUACGUG